rnacentral:rRNA from 1 species
GACGAACGCUGGCGGCGUGCUUAACACAUGCAAGUCGAACGGAAAGGCCCUGCUUUUGUGGGGUGCUCGAGUGGCGAACGGGUGAGUAACACGUGAGUAACCUGCCCUUGACUUUGGGAUAACUUCAGGAAACUGGGGCUAAUACCGGAUAGGAGCUCCUGCUGCAUGGUGGGGGUUGGAAAGUUUCGGCGGUUGGGGAUGGACUCGCGGCUUAUCAGCUUGUUGGUGGGGUAGUGGCUUACCAAGGCUUUGACGGGUAGCCGGCCUGAGAGGGUGACCGGCCACAUUGGGACUGAGAUACGGCCCAGACUCCUACGGGAGGCAGCAGUGGAGAAUAUUGCACAACGGGCGGAAGCCUGAUGCAGCAACGCCGCGUGCGGGAUGACGGCCUUCGGGUUGUAAACCGCUUUCGCCUGUGACGAAGCGUGAGUGACGGUAAUGGGUAAAGAAGCACCGGCUAACUACGUG